CCUACGGGCGGCAGCAGUGAGGAAUAUUGGUCAAUGGGCGCGAGCCUGAACCAGCCAAGUAGCGUGAAGGAUGACUGCCCUACGGGUUGUAAACUUCUUUUAUAAAGGAAUAACGUAAGGCACUUGUACCUUUUUGUAUGUACUUUAUAAAUAAGGAUCGGCUAACUCCGUGCCAGCAGCCGCGGUAAUACGGAGGAUCCGAGCGUUAUCCGGCUUUAUUGGGUUUAAAGGGAGCGUAGAUGGGUUGUUAAGGAAGUUGUGAAAGUUUGCGGUUCAACCGUAAAAUUGCAAUUGAUACUGGCAGCCUUGAGUACAGUUGAGGUAGGCGGAAUUCGUGGUGUAGCGGUGAAAUGCUUAGAUAUCACGAAGAACUCCGAUUGCGAAGGCAGCCUACUAAACUGCCACUGACAUUGAUGCUCGAAAGUGUGGGUAUCAAACAGGAUUAGAUACCCCAGUAGUC
rnacentral:rRNA from 1 species